rnacentral:rRNA from 1 species
UACGUAGGGUGCAAGCGUUGUCCGGAAUUAUUGGGCGUAAAGAGCUCGUAGGCGGUUCGUCGCGUCGGCUGUGAAAACCCGGAGCUCAACUCCGGGCCUGCAGUCGAUACGGGCGGACUAGAGUUCGGCAGGGGAGACUGGAAUUCCUGGUGUAGCGGUGAAAUGCGCAGAUAUCAGGAGGAACACCGGUGGCGAAGGCGGGACUCUGGGCCGAUACUGACGCUGAGGAGCGAAAGCGUGGGGAGCAAACAGG